rnacentral:lncRNA from 1 species
GGGCCUGGUCAUCAACUCUCAACUGCUUGUGUGCAGCUGUAGGAACCCUCUGAGGUGUGGCAGGGAGAAAUUCCUCGUGACCUAUGGUCCAUCGGCUGAUCUGGAAGCUGAACCCUUGGAAUAAAGACACCUGCAUGCUCGGAUUUGCAAAAGGAAUGGAAAAGAACCCUUAAAUAUGGCUUUGGAUCUUAUCAGCUCAGACAGCAUGGGCUAAUGUUCUACUGAAAUGAUCUUUUUCAAAGAGGCAUAAACCAUAGUCUUCCAGAGAGGCUGCUGUGGACACUCUGGAGAAUUUACAGAAAAAAUGUCCAGGGAAAUUCCCCAAUGGAACCAUGUGUGAAUCCA